rnacentral:snRNA from 1 species
AUCGCUUCUUGGCCUUUUGGCUUAGAUGAAGUGUAGUAUCAGUUGAAGUCUUGACAUGUCCUCUCUUUGGGGACUCCAUCCUGCCCUGGCAGCAGGCUGGGCUCAGUGACCUCCU